rnacentral:rRNA from 1 species
GAGAAAGUCCUUAAACCUAAAUAUCCGGUAUUUAUGAGUAUAUUAUUUUAUAAUGUAUUAAUAGUGUGCAAAAUUUUUUUCAUAAAAUAUAUUCUUUUAUAUAUUAUUUUUAUAAGGACAUUGUAAUCUGUUAAUACAAUUUCGGUUUUACAUAUAAAUUAAUUAAUUUAUUAAUUAAUAUAAAGAGUCAUGUAUAAGUGAUGUAAGAUCGAUGAAAAUUUUCUAGAUAAAUAGUUAACAGUAUUAAAAAUAUCUUACAUAAAAUGUUUUUUUAUGUCUUAUAUAUAAUCGUAUAUGCUUGGCACAAGGAGUAAUGUACAUGUACAUAUUUUUAAACCCUUUGCCUUUAAAUGUUUACGGUUAAUAAAAUUGGCCCUAAUGC